rnacentral:rRNA from 1 species
UUUGACGGCGACCGGCGCACGGGUGAGUAACACGUAUCCAACCUGCCGAUGACUCGGGGAUAGCCUUUCGAAAGAAAGAUUAAUACCCGAUGGCAUAGUUCUUCCGCAUGGUAGAACUAUUAAAGAAUUUCGGUCAUCGAUGGGGAUGCGUUCCAUUAGGUUGUUGGCGGGGUAACGGCCCACCAAGCCUUCGAUGGAUAGGGGUUCUGAGAGGAAGGUCCCCCACAUUGGAACUGAGACACGGUCCAA